CGCAGCGGUAUAUCGAGAAUGGAAGGG
rnacentral:piRNA from 1 species